UGCAGUCGAGCGGACAGAAGGGAGCUUGCUCCCGGAUGUUAGCGGCGGACGGGUGAGUAACACGUGGGUAACCUGCCUGUAAGACUGGGAUAACUCCGGGAAACCGGAGCUAAUACCGGAUAGUUCCUUGAACCGCAUGGUUCAAGGAUGAAAGACGGUUUCGGCUGUCACUUACAGAUGGACCCGCGGCGCAUUAGCUAGUUGGUGAGGUAACGGCUCACCAAGGCGACGAUGCGUAGCCGACCUGAGAGGGUGAUCGGCCACACUGGGACUGAGACACGGCCCAGACUCCUACGGGAGGCAGCAGUAGGGAAUCUUCCGCAAUGGACGAAAGUCUGACGGAGCAACGCCGCGUGAGUGAUGAAGGUUUUCGGAUCGUAAAGCUCUGUUGUUAGGGAAGAACAAGUGCAAGAGUAACUGCUUGCACCUUGACGGUACCUAACCAGAAAGCCACGGCUAACUACGUGCCA
rnacentral:rRNA from 1 species